AGCAGCCGCGGUAAUUCCAGCUCCAAUAGCGUAUAUUAAAGUUGUUGCAGUUAAAAAGCUCGUAGUUGAAUUUCGGGAUCAACAUGUCGGUCGUGCCUCUGGUACGUACUGGUAUCGUUGGUUUCUACCUUCUGACGAACCAUGAUGUCAUUAAUUUGGUGUCAUGGGAAAUCAGGACCGUUACUUUGAAAAAAUUAGAGUGUUUAAAGCAGGCAC
rnacentral:rRNA from 1 species